rnacentral:lncRNA from 1 species
UUUUGCUUUACUACAUAGAUAUACGUACCACAGUUUCUCAUCAAGUAUUUUAUUGAUCUUCUUAAAUCUAAUUGUUAAUGUAGCAUUGAAAUUUACAAGCAUAACAAAGAAGAAAGAAUAGCAAGAACCUGGGGUACUACAGCACCCGGUUUACCUUAUGUCGAGGAAGCUAUUAGCGCUGCUGGAAACUGGCUGAUUGGUGGUGAUUUAGAGGUUAUAGAACCCAUCAAGUAUAAUGAUGGUCUUGAUCACUUCCGGCUUUCCCCUUCACAGCUCCGUGACGAGUUUGUGAGGCGCAACGCAGAUGCUGUGUUUGCCUUCCAGCUCAGAAAUCCUGUGCACAAUGGGCAUGCUCUAUUGAUGACUGACACGCGCAGUCGUCUUCUGGAGAUGGGAUAUAAGAAUCCGGUCCUCUUGCUUCAUCCAUUGGGAGGUUAUACAAAAGCAGAUGAUGUACCACUUUGUUGGCGAAUGAAGCAACAUGAGAAGGUACGUGACCUCUUAAAUAUGUUACUAUCUACCUAGCAAUGGGGAGCCAAUCUUUUUGCAUUUUCCUUUUUUGUGUGCUUUCUCUUCAUAUUCCUUUUACAACUAUUAAGAAUUUGAGCUAAUUAAUUUUUACAUCGGGUCAAACAGUGUCAUGCUGAAAAAAGAAGUAAUAUUGUGGGACAAAAGUAUAUUUUGGUACAAUGUUAGAACUGUUGCUGAUCAUGACGUGAUUCGUUCUUGUAUCCCGAAGUUCCAUUUAGGGCUUGCCUAGGAAAUGAGUAAAAUCAACUGUUUGUCCCUAAUAUGAUUGGACACUUUGAUAACUUUAAAAAGGUUACAUUUUAAAAAGUUUAAAGCUUAAUUUAGAUGAAGAGAAACAUUAUUUUUUUUAAUUUUUCAACUUAUUUAUUAUAAGUAAAUAUGUGUACGUGAACUUUUGAGCAUAGCUAUUUCAAUGUUGAUUUUCAUUAGCAGAUUGUUCAUGAUGUGCUUUUAUGCAAUAUUUUCCUUUAAAUUGACAACAUAUGUCAAAAAAAAAAGUCGUUUUGUGUUUUCUUCACAAAUUUUUUUUUCGUUUUCGAAAAUUCGUUUUCGAAAACGGGAAAGAGAACACGUUUUCAUCGUUUUGAAAAAUCGAAAACAGAAAACGGCCCGAAAACAGUAAAGAGAACAGGGCCUAAAUAAUUUAAUUUGGGAGUGCCCCAAUCAAUUAUCUCAUAAAACAUUGUCCAGGUUCAUCCUCCCAAAUUUUACACUCCACUGGAGACCCCCACAUAAAUCCAACACCGGAAUUCCACCCAAAUAUUUCUUUCCCAGAAUACCCCUCACUACAAUUUUCUUUCCCAAAAGUCCCUCUACCACAAUUUUAAUUCUCAAUUUUCCUUAUAAUCUUUCACACUAAGGACAAAUUUUGUUCCUUUAAUAUUCCCACUUUCUUAAAUUUUGUUUUUCUUAAUUUUGUUAUUCCCAAAAUAUCCUUUUCUCUCUCAUUCACACGCUCUCCCUCCAAAUAAUAUAUAAUUCCUUCAAACCAACCCACCAACGAAAUAAAAAGACAGAAAUCUCUUCUGCCGCUCCAAAUGGCAGCCAUGGCGCUUUUCCUUAACAUAGCCACUCCUUCCUCCGUCUCUUACCCAAAACUGCCCAAAUCCCACCUCCCUCCACCCUUACUCCUCCCCCUCCACCACCACUCCACCGCCAGAACCCGAUCUGGUACCAAGAUUUCUGCCUCUCUGAUUGACCCGGAUGGAGGCCGACUUGUCGAGCUUUUUGUUCGAGAAUCUGAGAAGGAUUCGAAAUUGAAGCAGGCCAUGGGCUUGCCUCAGAUCAAACUCUCCAAGAUUGACCUUCAAUGGGUCCAUGUGCUCAGCGAGGGCUGGGCCAGCCCAUUGAAGGGGUUCAUGAGAGAGUCUGAGUUCCUCCAAACGCUUCAUUUUAACUCGCUCCGACUCAAUGACGGGUCGGUUGUCAACAUGUCGGUCGCGAUCGUUCUGGCCAUUGAUGAUGUCCAGAAGGGUCGGAUCGGGUCGUCCACCAGCGUUGCGCUUGUGGAUCAGAAUGACAACCUCGUUGCUAUCUUGAACGAGUAAGAUAAUUUUCUCUAAUUUUUCUAUGGAAAUUUGUUGGCUGAAUUCUAUUGAGUUUUUAAGUGAUUAAUUAUGUGAACGAUGCACUUGUGAUGGAAUUAUGCUUCUCUGAGUGAUGAAUUAUUUCUGUUACGAGUCUUUUUAUUUAUAUAUGGAGUUACUAUGAAUUUUAAUGCUAAUGAAUAUCUUCUUGAUCGGUAUUAGAUAUAGAUAAUUUGUAAUUGUUAAGAAGGGGUUGCCUGUCCUGGCGUGAAAUUUUAGUUUUAGAACUUGAUAUACAUUGAAUGCGCUGAAUUUUUAAUUUUUUAAUUUUUAAUUAUGUUUUUCCCUAUCAAACUGAAAUGUUUCUUAUUAGUUAGUUUUAAAUUAUGGCUUCUCAUGGAAUUAGCUAGAAAUUUUGAUUUAUUUUAACUCUUUUUGCAGCCUAAUUGUAUCUUCAUAGCUAUUGCAGAGUUUCUUGCUCAAGUUGUGCUGACGUGUAAAACUGAUAAUUCUACAGUCAUGCAAUAAUUUCGAUUUAGUUGGUGAUUUCAUAUGAUAUGCUGCUUGAAUAAUUUCCGGAAUUGGUGUUUCGAGAGUGUAAUAUUCCAAGGUUUAAUCCUCUGGUUGGAUAAGAUGGUGGAGCUUGCAAUUCUUAUUCAAAUGAUUAUUUCCAAGGGCAAGGUCCCACAUUUGUAAAAUGAAAAAAGAUAAAUGAUUGGAGAUUUAGCCCUGUUUGUUUCCCAUUUUCUCCUCAUUAAAAUGAAAAAUAUAACCGUUAUCCAUCACAUCAAGCCACCAAAUUUGAAUUUCUAUAUUUUGUAUAGGACUCAUAACGGCUAUAUGUUUCAUUCUCAUUUUUACAAAAAUGGGAAAUAAACGGGGUUUUACUAUGAUUUGAAAGUCAACUUGCAUCUGAUUGCGAGACCAAGGGUGUUUAAGACAUUUUUGAGCGAAUAGAUUAGUUGAUUUCCAAAUUCAUUGGAAUGGUAUACCAGCAUGAUCAUGUAAUAAUAUUGACAUCCUAUGCAUAUAUGAUUGACUACAUGCAAAUGUUGACCCCUUUACAAAACCCAUGGAUACUUUAACUUCCAUUGACUCUAUACUUGAAUAAGGAAAUUAUUAAGAUUGGAUUAUAGAAGAGUACCAGUUAUUUCGAAAACAAUUGUUCACGUCAUCUUUUGGUACAUGACCAAUAAUUUGCUUUUCAUGAAAAAGUAAAAUUCAUCUGUAGUUUGUAAUCGAGAAACAGAGCUGACACAAUUAUGUACAAUGGUUUUUGAUUAGUUUUUCAGGUAGCUUCCGUAGGACUCCUUUACCAUCAUCUACGAUAUUUUGGCUGUAGAUUAAUUUUCACUUAUCAUUUUCUUUAGACAUGUAGGUUGUGCUCCUAAUCAUAUUAUUAUUAUUAUUAUUAUUAUUAUUAUUAUUAUUAUUAUUAUUAUUAUUAUUAUUUUUGCUUUACUACAUAGAUAUACGUACCACAGUUUCUCAUCAAGUAUUUUAUUGAUCUUCUUAAAUCUAAUUGUUAAUGUAGCAUUGAAAUUUACAAGCAUAACAAAGAAGAAAGAAUAGCAAGAACCUGGGGUACUACAGCACCCGGUUUACCUUAUGUCGAGGAAGCUAUUAGCGCUGCUGGAAACUGGCUGAUUGGUGGUGAUUUAGAGGUUAUAGAACCCAUCAAGUAUAAUGAUGGUCUUGAUCACUUCCGGCUUUCCCCUUCACAGCUCCGUGACGAGUUUGUGAGGCGCAACG